rnacentral:rRNA from 1 species
CUAACACAUGCAAGUCGAAUGGUAACAGGAAACAGCUUGCUGUUUCGCUGACGAGUGGCGGACGGGUGAGUAAUGUCUGGGAAACUGCCUGAUGGAGGGGGAUAACUACUGGAAACGGUAGCUAAUACCGCAUAACGUCGCAAGACCAAAGAGGGGGACCUUCGGGCCUCUUGCCAUCAGAUGUGCCCAGAUGGGAUUAGCUAGUAGGUGGGGUAACGGCUCACCUAGGCGACGAUCCCUAGCUGGUCUGAGAGGAUGACCAGCCACACUGGAACUGAGACACGGUCCAGACUCCUACGGGAGGCAGCAGUGGGGAAUAUUGCACAAUGGGCGCAAGCCUGAUGCAGCCAUGCCGCGUGUAUGAAGAAGGCCUUCGGGUUGUAAAGUACUUUCAGCGGGGAGGAAGGGAGUAAAGUUAAUACCUUUGCUCAUUGACGUUACCCGCAGAAGAAGCACCGGCUAACUCCGUGCCAGCAGCCGCGGUAAUACGGAGGGUGCAAGCGUUAAUCGGAAUUACUGGGCGUAAAGCGCACGCAGGCGGUUUGUUAAGUCAGAUGUGAAAUCCCCGGGCUCAACCUGGGAACUGCAUCUGAUACUGGCAAGCUUGAGUCUCGUAGAGGGGGGUAGAAUUCCAGGUGUAGCGGUGAAAUGCGUAGAGAUCUGGAGGAAUACCGGUGGCGAAGGCGGCCCCCUGGACGAAGACUGACGCUCAGGUGCGA